UCUGAAACAUAAAGCUUCUCUUUUCCUCUAUCUUCCCUGAAGCCCUCUUUCUCUCUCUCUGACUACUGUGUUGCCUCUGCCAGGCCCGAACGGCCAUCGUCCCAUCGCCGGAGCCGUACACGCACCAGCCCAAUCGAACCGUCGGCCCUCGAAACGUUGACCCCCACGAGAUCACCACCAUACGCGCUGCCUAGGGCUAUCAACCAAUGGUCCGAAGCCGUCCGCCUCUUGCACUUUCUGGUGAGAUUCCGACUAGCCCGAGCCUCUAGUUUGAAGAAGGGCACGGGGAAGAGGUGUAGGUCUGGGCUCGUGGUCUUCUUCGUCUCAGAUGCGGGCUCAAUGGCGGGGAUGGGGAUCUACGUACGUUGUGGGGACUUUGGGGAACAGCUGGGUUUGAUCUCUCUCUCCCACUUACACUCACGACAACAAUGGGUUCGAGAAGAAGAUUUGGCGAAGGACUUAAAGCUGCACUCAAAGCAGCUUCGAAGAACUUUGCGGUUUUUCGAAGAAGAAAAAUUGGUUACCCGAGAUCAUAGAAGAGAGGUUGUAGGGAAGCAGAAUGCUUGGAGUUUUUUUUAUUAUGCAUUCAAGUUGUUUGAUAAAAUGCCAAAAGAAUAUGCUUUUGUUGAAUGUCUACACUAUAUAUUAUUUGGUGAACAACUUAGAGAAUCCUUCUGCCUCCAUAAUAGGGGAAUUGCCGUGG